rnacentral:rRNA from 1 species
UACGUAGGGGGCAAGCGUUGUCCGGAAUCAUUGGGCGUAAAGCGCGUGUAGGCGGCCAGGUAGGUCCGCUGUGAAAGUCCGAGGCUCAACCUCGGAAUGUCGGCGGAAACCCCCUGGCUAGAGUCCGGAAGAGGAGAGUGGAAUUCCCGGUGUAGCGGUGAAAUGCGCAGAUAUCGGGAAGAACACCCGUGGCGAAGGCGGCUCUCUGGAACGGUACUGACGCUGAGACGCGAAAGCGUGGGGAGCGAACAGG